rnacentral:misc_RNA from 1 species
AAGUCGUAACAAGGUUUCCGUAGGUGAACCUGCGGAGGGAUCAUUACACAAAUAUGAAGGCGGGCUGGAACCUCUCGGGGUUACAGCCUUGCUGAAUUAUUCACCCUUGUCUAUGUGUACUCUCGUUUCCUCGGCGGGCUCGCCCGCCAACGGGGACAAACAAACCCAUUUUUGCAGUGGAAGUCUCUUGUCUGAACAAUACAAACCUUAUUAAAACUUUCAACAACGGAUCUCUUGGUUCUG